rnacentral:rRNA from 1 species
UGGGGAAUAUUGGACAAUGGGCGAAAGCCUGAUCCAGCGACGCCGCGUGUGUGAAGAAGGCCUGCGGGUUGUAAAGCACUUUUAGUGGGGAUGAAAAGCACAUUGCUAAUACCAGUGUGUCUUGACCUAACCCAAAGAAAAAGCACCGGCUAACUCUGUGCCAGCAGCCGCGGUAAUACAGAGGGUGCGAGCGUUAAUCGGAAUUACUGGGCGUAAAGCGUGCGCAGGCGGUUCGUUAAGUCAGAUGUGAAAGCCCCGGGCUCAACCUGGGAACUGCAUUUGAAACUGGCGGGCUUGAAUGCGGCAGAGGGGGGUGGAAUUCCGCGUGUAGCAGUGAAAUGCGUAGAGAUGCGGAGGAACACCGACGGCGAAGGCAGCCCCCUGGGCCGACAUUGACGCUCAGGCACGAAAGCGUGGGGAGCAAAC